AGAGAGGAAGCUACCAAAAGCUGACCCGAAACCCGACCCAAACCGCGAACCCGACCCGGACAUACCUCCAAUUUCCGGCCACCUUAUCGGUCGAGCGAGGUACCAAUCUGAAGCUUGAAGACCGGCCAUAAUUCCCCCGCCGUCUAGGUAGCCGGAAAACAGCCAGAACGUUGGCGACCAAAGUUUGAAAAAUUGCAACUUUUCCAUCUUGCUCCGCCGGGAUUUUCGCAAGUUUUGGGUGACGCCACCAGCUGGGUUUUGUUCCCCACGACUCCCUUUUGAAUCUUCGACCAUUCAAAGCCACCGAAAGCGGUCGAUUUGCGGUGGUUCAGCCGUUGGAGUUACACAGUUGUCGAGCUAGAUUUCCACCGCCGUCGUCUUGCGUGGGACGUCACCGCUGGCACCGUUGGACCCAUUGUGGCCGAAACCUUCAGACUUGAGCUUCGUAGCCACCGUUGACUAAAUUCCGGUCAGCGUUGACCUGCGAGGGCAAUUCGGUAAUUUCCAUUUUGAGGGCGAUUUUGUAAUUUGAAACCCUGUGGAUAUUUUAGUAAUUCCUGAAAUUAAGGAUUGGCUGGUAAUUACAAUUCCGAUGGUGAUUCGUUGAUUUAUGAUUUUGGAGUAUUUUAAUGAUUAACGGACUUUAUUGGUGAUUUUGUAUAUUCCACUCACAGAAUUGUAAAUUAUAGAUAGAUGUUCGUUUCGAGUUUAUUGAAUAAAUUUAGUCAUAAUUUAGAUUUACGAAAAAUAAUUAUGUGAUUUCCUUGAUUUAGGAGGAUUCGCGAACGAGAACUAGUCCGCAGGUGUGGACGAUAACCAAAUCUGAGCAUCGUCACUGUAAGUGGAAUAUACAAAACCUAUUUUCAUAGUUAAUUAUGAUAGUAAAACAUGCUUGCGAAAUAAGUAUUUUAAAUGUUUUGAUUUAAUGAUUUUCUCAAAAUGAAUUUAAUUCCCGCAUUGAUAUUUUAUUGAAAUGUUUGGUUAAUGAUUUUCCGUAUCGACUUUGGAUAAUAUAUUAUAGUAUUUUAAAAACAAGAAAAAUGGAUUUAAAUGUGAUAGUAAAAAGAAGAUAGAUUUAAAGUAUGUUAAAUAGAAAGGAAAUGAGAUUUAUAGUAUGAUUUUAUGUUCAUGUAUACGUGUAUAAGGCGUUGUUUGUAAAUUAUUGGACAAUACCUUUCUCUAGUUACAAUGAUAUUGAUAUGAUGAGGCCUUUGGAGUUGGUUUGAAUACACAUAGAGGCUUGGGGUCGUGUGCUUGGACGUUUUUAUCCUUUGGGGAUUUGAUCAUCCGUGCACAGAUAUGAUAAGAUAUGAGAUGACAUUUUCCCGUCUAUCUGUAUAGCUCCGGAGCAUGAUGGUACCUAAAUAAUAUGCCAUUGUCCAUCCAUUGAGGCCCGGAUAUGACGAAAUUAUUCCCCUGGGUGCUUGUUUAGUGAUGAUUUCAGAUUUGUGUAUUUUAUAUGAUAUUGUGAUAUGAUUUCUAUGGUUAUUACAUAUAUUAUUAUUUAUGCUCUUGAAGGUUAGUAAUAUGAUUUACAUGUUAAAUGAUUUAUUAAUGUUUUCCCGUAUAUGGUUUGAUGAAACCAUGUUUAGAAAUGAUAUGAUUAAAAUUAUUUUCAAAAAAUUACUAUCCACUCACUAAGUUUUAUACUCAUCCCGUUUUAUUAUAUUCCCCCCUCCCCCAACAGGAGGUUGCAAGUAUACUAGAUCAACUCAGUGACUGUAAAUAUAUUUUGAAUUUUGGUCACGUGAUGGUGUUAGAAGAUAUAGAUAAUUUUUGUUAGGAC
rnacentral:lncRNA from 1 species